GACGAACGCUGGCGGCGUGCUUAACACAUGCAAGUCGAACGGAAAGGCCCUGCUUUUGUGGGGUGCUCGAGUGGCGAACGGGUGAGUAACACGUGAGUAACCUGCCCUUGACUUUGGGAUAACUUCAGGAAACUGGGGCUAAUACCGGAUAGGAGCUCCUGCUGCAUGGUGGGGGUUGGAAAGUUUCGGCGGUUGGGGAUGGACUCGCGGCUUAUCAGCUUGUUGGUGGGGUAGUGGCUUACCAAGGCUUUGACGGGUAGCCGGCCUGAGAGGGUGACCGGCCACAUUGGGACUGAGAUACGGCCCAGACUCCUACGGGAGGCAGCAGUGGGGAAUAUUGCACAAUGGGAGGAAGCCUGAUGCAGCAACGCCGCGUGCGGGAUGACGGCCUUCGGGUUGUAAACCGCUUUCGCAUGUGACGAAGCGUGAGUGACGGUAAUGGGUAAAGAAGCACCGGCUAACUACGUG
rnacentral:rRNA from 1 species